GUUGAGGUAUGUGAUCUUAUUCUUGAAUUGAAGACUAUAAAAUUAACUUUGCCAGAUGGUGUAAUGUGAGCUAUGGAGAUUUUUGAGCAUGUCCAAGAAGUUGAUUGUUACCCUAAUAUCUCCAUUCUUUAUCACAUCUUAUUUACUAUGUCUGUGACUAGCUUCCAAAGUUGA
rnacentral:rRNA from 1 species